GACGGAGGGUGCAAGCGUUGUUCGGAAUUACUGGGCGUAAAGGGCGCGUAGGCGGUCUGUUAAGUUCGGUGUGAAAGCCCCCGGCUCACCUGGGGAACUGCGCCGGAAACCGACAGACUCGAGUACCGGAGAGGAGGGUGGAAUUCCUGGUGUAGCGGUGAAAUGCGUAGAUAUCAGGAGGAACACCGGUGGCGAAGGCGGCCCUCUGGACGGAUACUGACGCUGAGGAGCGAAAGCGUGGGGAGCGAACAGG
rnacentral:rRNA from 1 species